rnacentral:rRNA from 1 species
AUUGAACGCUGGCGGCAUGCUUUACACAUGCAAGUCGAACGGCAGCGCGGGCUUCGGCCUGGCGGCGAGUGGCGAACGGGUGAGUAAUACAUCGGAACGUGCCCAGUAGUGGGGGAUAGCUCGGCGAAAGCCGGAUUAAUACCGCAUACGACCUGAGGGUGAAAGCGGGGGAUCUUCGGACCUCGCGCUAUUGGAGCGGCCGAUGGCAGAUUAGCUAGUUGGUGGGGUAAAGGCCUACCAAGGCGACGAUCUGUAGCUGGUCUGAGAGGACGACCAGCCAACGGGGGAUGGAAACACGGCACAGCACCAGAGGGGAGGCAGAGGGGGGGAAUUUUGGAAAAAGGGGGGAAGCAUGAACCAGCAAUGCGGGGGGUGGGAAGAAGGCCUUCGGGUGGUAAAACACUUUGGGGGGGAACAAAAAGGAGGGGCCCAAAACCACGGUUAGAGGAGGGAACCCGCAAAAAAAGCACCGGUAAAAUACGG